rnacentral:rRNA from 1 species
CCUACGGGAGGGCAGCAGUGGGGAAUAUUGGACAAUGGGCGAAAGCCUGAUCCAGCCAUGCCGCGUGUGUGAAGAAGGCCUUCGGGUUGUAAAGCACUUUCAGUGGGGAAGAAAGCCUUGGGGCUAAUACCCUCGAGGAAGGACAUCACCCACAGAAGAAGCACCGGCUAACUCCGUGCCAGCAGCCGCGGUAAUACGGAGGGUGCGAGCGUUAAUCGGAAUUACUGGGCGUAAAGCGCGCGUAGGCGGUCUGAUAAGCCGGUUGUGAAAGCCCCGGGCUCAACCUGGGAACGGCAUCCGGAACUGUCAGGCUAGAGUGCAGGAGAGGAAGGUAGAAUUCCCGGUGUAGCAGUGAAAUGCGUAGAGAUCGGGAGGAAUACCAGUGGCGAAGGCGGCCUUCUGGACUGACACUGACGCUGAGGUGCGAAAGCGUGGGUAGCAAACAGGAUUAGAUACCCUAGUAGUC